UUCGGGGUAUCGAGCGCCGAACGGGUGAGUAACACGUGAGCAACCUGCCCCAGGCUUUGGGAUAACCCCGGGAAACCGGGGCUAAUACCGAAUAUGACCUUGCACCGCAUGGUGUUUGGUGGAAAGUUUUUCGGCUUGGGAUGGGCUCGCGGCCUAUCAGCUUGUUGGUGGGGUGAUGGCCUACCAAGGCGACGACGGGUAGCCGGCCUGAGAGGGCGACCGGCCACACUGGGACUGAGACACGGCCCAGACUCCUACGGGAGGCAGCAGUGGGGAAUAUUGCACAAUGGGCGGAAGCCUGAUGCAGCGACGCCGCGUGAGGGAUGACGGCCUUCGGGUUGUAAACCUCUUUCAGCAGGGACGAAGCGUAAGUGACGGUACCUGCAGAAGAAGCGCCGGCCAACUACGUGCCAGCAGCCGCGGUAAGACGUAGGGCGCGAGCGUUGUCCGGAUUUAUUGGGCGUAAAGAGCUCGUAGGCGGCUUGUCGCGUCGACUGUGAAAACCCGCAGCUCAACUGCGGGCCUGCAGUCGAUACGGGCAGGCUAGAGUUCGGUAGGGGAGACUGGAAUUCCUGGUGUAGCGGUGAAAUGCGCAGAUAUCAGGAGGAACACCGGUGGCGAAGGCGGGUCUCUGGGCCGAUACUGACGCUGAGGAGCGAAAGCGUGGGGAGCGAACAGG
rnacentral:rRNA from 1 species